AAGUUAUAACAAGGUUUUUGUAGGUAAACCUACAGAAGAAUUAUUACCUUUCUAGCUAUUUAAUAGCUUGUCUAAGGGCUGUAGUUUCUAUAGUCUCUAACUACAUCUAUGUUUUUUUGCGUACUAUAUAUUUCCUUAGCAGGCUUACUUACUAGUUAGAUAAACUAAAACUCUUUACAAUUACAAUUAGCGUCUAAAUUAUAUAAUAAAUUACAA
rnacentral:misc_RNA from 1 species